CAAAAAACAUCCAGCAAAAAUGUUUUUUUUCCAUUUAAGAGAUUUAGCAAUGAAGGAAAAGUAUUUCUGAAACCUUACUAUGUCAGUGAGAAAUUUACUGAAAUAGCUUAAAGAUAAUUUAGGGAACACAUCUACUGAAUAAGACUAGAUGCACAUAUACAGACACAACCACAUUAUAGAUGGAGUUCAGAUAUUGUAUAGUUUCUUGUGCAAGGAUCUUAAUAAAUCUCGUGUUGAGGACUCAUGCCCAAUCCUUGCUGACUAUUCUUUGCAGAAGGGCACGCCUCAAGGAGUAUGUAGUAACACACUGUUUAGUGGUUAGUACCAUCUAGGUGGUCAGGAAUCCCAGUUCCUACUUUACCACAGUUAGCCCUCCUUGAUACAUUGUUUUAACAGCACUAUAUCACUGUCCUACGAAAUAUGCCUGUUGGACCAGAUUAGAUCUCUAAACUCUAAAAGCCUCUGAGUAUCUAAAUUACUGAAUAUUCUUAAUGUGCUUGAUAGCUGGUUUUGAAUUUGAGAAAGCUGGUUAAACUUUUUCAAACUAAAAUUUUAAAAAUCCAGUGCAUCACCUAACUCCUUACUCCUCCAGAGAACUAUAUCCACACUGGGUUUCCUUUUAGCCUUGGGAGAACCCUCGGCUUUGGAUCAACUUUGGUUUCUGCUCUCAACCCCAGCCCUUGAUUUGUAGCUGUACAAACUUGCUCUACCAGUGAUGCAGCUAGUAAUAUACAAACAAAAGCAAUCACAGAAUGUCAUUAUAAAAACAAGAAUUGAAAUCUAAACAUUUGUUAAAAACAGGUAACAAGCUUUACUGUAACAAAGUUCACUGUGUUUUUUGGGUAGCAUUAUUAAGGAUAUAAAAAAAAAGCAAACUUCUUUUGGAAUUUGAGUGAAACUUGUUUUUUCCUUCCCCCACCCCCGCCGCAUCUCCAAGUGAAACUAUUGUUUAAUAAAAGUGAGUGAAAAUAAAUAUUUUAAUGCAAAAAUUAUUCUCAAGACAUAACAAGCUAAAAGCCUCACAGGAAUUUAGAUCUUUCACCCAUGAUUCCACCUCCUGCCUUUCUGUUUGUUUUUGUUUUGGUGUUAUUAAGCCACCUUAAAGCUUUUCUGAAUGAGGUGUAACAAGAAGAGAGUUGUUCAUGCUAAUGAGUGAAUGAUUGCUAUUAAAGGUUACUCUCCCUAAAAUCAGCUUUACUCAGAACUUGGUUGUAAUGUUGUGGAAACUACAGUUUUAGAUCAGCCUAAGAGCUGUAGUGUUAGCAUUAAUUUAUGAGGGGAAGAUAGAAAUACAGAGACGUGGUGGUGGGAUUCAUACUCAGGUCUGUUGGACCCUGAGCCCUUGUUCUGUCCAUCGUGGCACGUUGCCUUCGUGCAUAGUAGGUGAGUAUGUGUUGAGUGAAGUAACUCAUCUAGAACAAUAAGUUGCCCUCAGUGAUGUAUCUUUGAGAUUAUAGGAUACCUAUGUUGUUGCUGAUUCUCAGUACUUUAUACAGUGCCUGGUACACCAAAAUACUCAACAGAUUUUUUAGUUAAUGUGUGUUAAAGUGCUCUUGAUUCUUUUACUUGUUUUAGUGUUUUGUUUAACACAGAAUGUAUGUUCAAUAAUUUAAGUGAAUUAUAACUGUAGCUACAGAUGUGCCUAUCAUAUUGGUCUAUGCGGCUGCAUUCAUUUUGGUUGCUGACCAUAAAACUGCUUUUCCUUUAGUUUAGAAAGGUCUUUGGAGCUUUUAGGCUCUUAAUGUCAUUAUUUCAAUCAUAAGACAUUUAAACCUGAAACUUUUAACAGAUAAACUGCUGGCUUUCACACAGAUGGGCUCUUAUUUGGAAGGAAAUUUUAGGACUGUCUAGUCAGACUUCCCUCCUGUGCUUAAGGAAGCAUCACCACCAUCACAACUGCCACUAUUACUUCCAUUAGUUAUCACAUGCCAAGCACUAAACAUUUCACACAUGGCUCCUGUGAAGUCUCAUGUUGAUACGAUCUUUGAGGUGUAAUUAUCCCCACUUUGACAGUUCAGAAAAUCUGGGGUCAAUUUGAGGACAAACAGGUUAUCUAAGGUGGCAAAGCUAAGUUGGAACUCAGGCCUAUCUGACCCAAAGCCUGUGCCCUUUUCACUGUACUGCCCUCAACAAAGUUUCUUCCCUGCUUCUAGAUGGGACAGUCAUUAUCCUCUAGAUGAGUUUGUUUCAUUUUUUAACAACUCUUAUUAUUAGAAGAAAAUUUGAGAUAAUAUCUAUCCUUCUACCUCUUUAUUCAUUAAAGGUCUCUCUGAAUCCUGUAGAACAGUGGUGUCCCCAAUCUUUUUGGCACCAGGGACCGGUUUCGUGGAAGGCAAGUUUUCCAAGGUCUUUAAUAGAAGAUGGCAAAGCCCAGCCACAGCAGCUACGUCCUUCAGCAGCUAAACAACCAAAGGGAAUGGGGUUUUCUCUGUGACUGUUGUAUUGCAAUUGAUGACAUUUACUUUCAAGCACACAAAGCAGUUCUAGCUGCUUGUAGCUCCUAUUUUAGAAUGUUUUUCAUGAACCAUCAACAUAGUACUGCACAACUGAAUCUCAGCAACAUGAAAAUUAGUGCUGAGUGUUUUGAUCUCAUUUUGCAGUUCAUGUAUUUAGGAAAAAUUAUGACAGCUCCUUCCAGUUUUGAACAGUUUAAAGUGGCAAUGAACUACCUACAGCUGUACAAUGUUCCUGACUGCUUAGAAGACAUACAGGAUGCAGAUUGUUCUAGUUCAAAAUGUUCAUCUUCUGCUUCUAGCAAACAGAACAGCAAAAUGAUAUUUGGGGUGAGAAUGUAUGAAGACACUGUGGCUAGAAAUGGCAGUGAAGCUAAUAGGUGGUGUGCAGAGCCAAGUUCAACAGUGAAUACGCCACAUAAUAGAGAGCCUGAUGAAGAGUCGUUGCAAUUAGGUAAUUUUCCUGAGCCAUUAUUUGAUGUAUGUAAAAAGAGUUCUGUGUCCAAAUUAUCUACUCCAAAAGAACGUGUAUCACGACGCUUUGGACGGAGUUUUACCUGUGAUAGUUGUGGAUUUGGCUUUAGCUGUGAAAAACUAUUAGAUGAGCAUGUACUAACCUGUACUAACAGACAUUCAUACCAAAACACAAGAUCCUAUCAUAGAUUAGUGGAUAUUAGAGAUGGAAAAGACAGUAAUAUCAAAGCUGAAUUUAGUGAAAAGGAUUCUUCUAAAACCUUUUCUGCACAGACAGACAAAUACAGAGGAGACACAAGUCAGGCUGCUGAUGAUUCAGCUUCAACCACUGGAAGCAGAAAAAGUAGUACAGUGGAGUCUGAACUAGCCAGUGAAGAAAAGAGCAGAGCCGCUGAGAGGAAAAGAAUCAUCAUUAAGAUGGAACCAGAGGAUAUUCCUACAGAUGAACUGAAAGACUUUAACAUUAUUAAAGUUACUGAUAAAGACUGUAAUGAGUCCACUGACAAUGAUGAGUUAGAAGACGAAGCUGAAGAGCCAUUUUAUAGAUACUACGUUGAAGAAGAUGUCAGUAUUAAAAAAAGUGGUAGGAAAACUCUAAAACCUCGGAUGUCAAUAAAUGCUGAUGAAAGAGGUGGUUUAGAAAAUAUGAGGCCACCGAACAACAGCAGCCCUGUACAAGAAGACACUGAAAAUGCUUCUUGUGAGCUGUGUGGGCUCACAAUAACUGAGGAGGACCUGUCAUCUCAUUACUUAGCCAAACACAUCGAAAAUAUCUGCGCAUGUGGCAAAUGUGGACAAAUACUUGUGAAGGGUAGACAGCUUCAGGAGCAUGCCCAGAGAUGUGGAGAGCCCCAAGAUCUGACCAUGAAUGGGUUAGGAAAUGCCGAGGAGAAGAUGGACAUGGAAGAGAAUCCUGAUGAACAGUCAGAAAUAAGGGAUAUGUUUGUUGAAAUGUUGGAUGACUUUAGAGACAAUCAUUUCCAGAUAAACAGUAUCCAAAAAAAGCAGUUAUUUAAACAUUCUGCCUGUCCUUUUCGAUGUCCUAAUUGUGGCCAACGAUUUGAAACUGAAAAUCUAGUGGUUGAACAUAUGUCUAGCUGCCUAGACCAAGACAUGUUUAAGAGUGCCAUCAUGGAAGAGAAUGAAAGAGAUCACAGACGAAAGCAUUUUUGUAACCUGUGUGGGAAAGGAUUUUAUCAGCGGUGUCACUUAAGAGAACACUAUACUGUUCAUACCAAGGAAAAACAGUUUGUUUGUCAGACAUGUGGGAAGCAAUUUUUAAGAGAACGUCAGUUGCGCCUGCACAAUGACAUGCACAAAGGCAUGGCCAGGUAUGUCUGUUCCAUUUGUGAUCAAGGCAACUUCAGAAAACAUGACCAUGUACGGCAUAUGAUUUCUCAUUUAUCUGCUGGUGAGACUAUAUGCCAGGUCUGCUUUCAGAUAUUUCCAAAUAAUGAACAGUUGGAACAGCACAUGGAUAUUCAUCUGUAUACAUGUGGAAUAUGUGGAGCAAAAUUUAACUUGAGGAAAGAUAUGAGAUCACAUUAUAAUGCCAAGCAUUUGAAAAGAACAUAAGGAUUUUCUACUGUAUAAUGUUUAGCUGAUAGGAGACAAAACACCAAAGCAAAGGAUAUGAGCUAUUUAGAAAAUGAUUUUAUAAGAUGACUUGCUGAAAAAAAUUUUCAAGGCCCUUUACCUUUAAUAUUUUUGUUUAGGAUCUUAAGUAUCUACAUUUUAGGUGUUAUUAAAUGUUUAUCAUUUUUGUUAUUUCUUAAUAGAAUUCUUUGUUUUUAGUUUGUUUUAGCUAUGAUUAAAAUUACUUUUAAAUGUAGAUUACAAGUGGUUGUUACCCCUUCAGUGACUAUUGAAGCUUAGGUUGUUUUUUUUUAAUCGAUAAGGUGAUGAUGUCACAAUUUUUAUUUUAUUUUGUUUCUUAAGGCUACCUUGUGAAAAUUUAAACCCAAUAUCAUUGGCCAUUCCUGUUUAAAUUAAAAAAAAUUUUUUUUAAGUAGUUAUUUAAAACUAUCCCAUUUACUUUAGCUUUUUUUUUUGUAAGUUGAACAAUGAUUUAGCCACUGUUUAUUUCCCUGUCUUACCAGUGAAAUUCAUAUUCUUAAAUUGAAAACUUAGUAGGCAGGUUAGGUGCGCUGAAUCUAACCUUGAAGGUUGACAUGGGCUCAAACUUGGCCUAAAAAGAUUGAUGGACCUAAGGAAAUUCCUAUAGAUGAAUAUUUCCUAUGAUUGAUAAAAUAUUAUCAUUUAAUAAUCACAUUUAAAACUUAUAUUAAGUGUAAAAACCCAAUGACUUUACUCCACUUGACAAAUUAGUGGGGACAAGUCAUUUUGUUUUGUGAUAUUAAAUUUAACUAUGAUAGUUAAUUAAAAAAGCAUAUCUUGUAUUCAUUUAAAAUAAUUUAAAAUAUUUUGAUUUCUAAAGUGUGUUAGCUUAUCAGUUAUUUUUGUUUAUAAAUAGAAUUUAAUAGCUUUCUAGGAAGAUGACAUCUAAAGGAAAAUGAUUUUUCACCUUUAAAAUGACAUACUUUUGGAACUUACUUUGAGAUUUGAGAAAGCUGCCAUGUAUAUUGAUAAAUCUAAUAAAGAAAUCAAUCACAAAUCUGGUUGUUCUAUAAAAGUAGAGUGUGCAAAAAAAACAUGUCUUGUGUUUUAUACUAAGAUUUGGAGAAAAUGUGUUAUGGAAAAUUAGUUUAUCAACAUGCUUUUUUUUUUUCUGUAAAGGACUAUAAAAUUUGAGGACUAUAAAAUAAUAACAAUAUAUGAAUGGAGACAGUUUAUCAUUUUUUAGAUAAAGUAGUAUUACUGUUAGUUGUUGCUGACACGAGGUCUACAUGAAUUACAUAUGAAAACUGGCCCACAAAUCAACACAUCUGUUGGAUAGAAUGCGUUUUAAUGUAAAUUACUUGCAUAGUAAUACCCGUCUCAUAAUGAAAGGGAUUUUAAAUAACUCCUAUAUUUAAAAGUAUAAUUUUGUGAUUAUGAACAGUAAUUUAACAGUAUUGUUCUUUUUGUUUACAUCACAUUUUAAAGAUAUGCAAGUCCUAUUUUUGUAUACAAUUUGCAUAAAAGAACAAGUUUGCCAAGAGAACUGAGAGACAUAUUGACUAGCAUAGAUUUAGUUGAAAGAAAAGACCAGAGUGUGUGCUCAGAGAUUUGUGAGGACAUGUUGAGGUGUUACGUAAUAAUUGAAAUAGUACAGGAGCCAUACAGUAUUAGAACAAAAUAAUGGGAAGUAGAAAUGGGGGAAAUACACAAAAAAGACAAAUGAGAAAUCAGGAUUUUUUUUAAAAAGCCAUAUAGCAGAAAAAGCAAGAAAAAUGAUUCAUCUUAGUUCUUGGUUACAGUAGUUUAUCAAGUUAUUAAAUCUGAAAUGCAACUUAAAAUGAAAAAUGUAUAUACAUUACUGAUAGAAACCUGAUAAAAGUUCUGUAACAAACCCAGAGACCAUCAGAGAAUAGAGAGAAGCUCUCAAACCAAAUUUCCAAAGUAUAUAGCAUCUUAGUAGACAUCACUUUCUUUGGAACCACUUUUUUCCAUGACCCUCUUCAAAGCCUCUAUUGCAAAGGCUCUCCCACCAUUAAAGAACAAGUUUGUUGCUUAGUCCCUAGGUUGUGUUCGACUCCUUUUGCGACCCCAUGGACUGUAGCCGGCCAGGUUCCUAUGUUCAGGGGGUUUUCCAGGCAAGAAUACCAGGGUGGGUUGCCAUUUCGUUUUCCAGGGGAUCUUCCUGACCCAGGGAUUGAACCCAUGUCUCUUGCAUUGGCAGGUGAAUUCUUUACCACUGAGCCACCUGGGAAGCCUCUAAAGAACAGAAACCUUUCUAAAUAUACCACUCUGUAAAAGAUGAUUUCUAACCCGCCUUUCUAAAUACUGUCACUCUGUAAAAAAUGAUUUCUAACCCAUUGGGAAAGGGGUUUAGUUUUAGACACGUACUAACAGCCAAUUAGCAAGCAAAUAUAUAAACAUUAAACAUAAUCUCUAAUUUUACAUAACUGAGAUGUUUAUAGUUUCACAAAGCCACACCGCAGGAUGUGUUUUCCCUGUGUGUUACACAGGACACACGCCUGUUGUUUUGCAGCUAGCUACAGGCAGUACAAGUUUCUUUGAGUAUAUGUAUAAUUUUCCUUAUUAAGAAAAAGUUCAUUUAAUGACUACAUGCCUCCUUUUAAAACUAGGGGGAGUGAAAACUAUCCAACACCUCUCUAGCCCAGUUUUCUCUUCUUCCCUCUCUCGGAGUGGAGCUACAGAGCUAUGCCUACUUAAUACCGCUUCUUGCCCUCCAGUGCUAUGAAGACAGUGAAUCAAGGUUGUGGAUGUUGCCUCCUCCUACUGUCUUUGUCAUUUAAGUGAUUAGGCUCCAAAUGUGAAAAUGAAGGGGAAAUCUAGAUAGGUAUAUGUGGAAUCUUGUUUUUUUUUACAAAUACGGUCUUUCUUAAAGGGCCUUUUGUUCUCCAGCAAAAAUUUUGGGGGAAUGGAUUCAGUACUUAGCAAGCUUGCCACCAAUUCCAGCGCAGCUCAGAUGUUUAUAAUUUUUAGUAAACAGGACUAAGAAUCUCAGAGAUUAGUGGAUUAGGACUCAGAAAUUUGUCUUAAUCCUGUAUUUUUAAAGUAAGAAUAUUCAGAGAAAUGACUUACAUGAGUAAAAUGGCUAAAGUUUAAAGUUUGGGUAUAAACAAAAAGAAGCACUCCAAGGGCUAGAUACAAAAAUUAAAUAAUUAAAAUAAGGACAGAGUUUUCUAGAGUAGUCAGCACCAAUUAAAAGGAAAAAUAAUAGACUUAAGUAAAAAUCACAAGUAUUGUAGUUAAGAACAAAAAUAUGAGACAGAAACAUUGAGUUAAAGUGAGGUGAGUAUAGAAUUUGAUAGGCUAAAAUAAUCUGAUUAAUUCCAUUAGAGCUACAGAAUGUCUAAUGAAACAGCUUUUAUGAACAUGCCACACAUAAACAUGUGAGAUAAUAUUCCAAUGUUUAUAAAAAGUGGGAAGAGAAGCUGGUGGUGGUUUGUAACUUUCUCUGGUUAAACAAUACAUGUUCCUAUAUAUCACUAGUUAAAAAGAACUGUAUUUAAUUGAUCUGUGGAAAAUUCCCCAAAGAACCAGAGUGAACAGUUAGUAAGCUAAACAUAAAACUUGUUAACAAAAUGCUAAAUUAGUACCAACCAGGAGAAAAACCUGAAUAUGUAUAUGCAUACAUAGUUGAGAAUAAAGUAGUUUGGUAUAUUUAAUUCUAAAUGGGUUUUAUGAGUUACACAUUUUUUUUUCGCCAUUAAUCUACUUUGAUUAGCUCCUCAUCAUUCAUCGCCACCCCAACCUCCUUUGUGACAUUUGCUUCUCGGUGAUAGAAGUGCUCUGAAGGCUUUGACAAUGCCUAAGAUUCCAGGGUACCAAAAGGCUCCGUGGGAACAUACCUUUGUGGAAUGUCUCCUAUCUCCUGAUACCUGAGGUGCAGUAAACAAAGUGAUAGAACGAAUGCCAGGGAACUGGCAAGUAAAGUUAGAUUUGGUGUUAAGAACUGUGGCCCAGAUUUGGAAAUCUAUGAACUAUCCAUCCCAGGGCUCUCAGUAAUCCCAUCAUCCAUUUCAUUAACACUCUUUUACUCUGCUAAACACUUGAUACAGAUGUAAUUUUAAUGAGUCCUCAUGGCCUUAUGAGUGGUCAAAUAGGGCCUUCUAAACCUCUGGAGAAGUGAGAUCUGAAUUUGGAGAGGACAUGGGGAAGAAUCAAUCAUCAACAGAUAAUCUUUAAGUCCAGACCCAGGAAUAUCAGAUCUGAAGUGACACCAUCUUUUCUGUCUUCUGACAAACCUCAUCAACCCCAAAAGUUCCAGUUGCAAGGAUCCAAGAAAACUCAGUAAAGAUCACUUUGGAA